GACGAACGCUGGCGGCGUGCUUAACACAUGCAAGUCGAACGGUGAAGCGCCUUCCUUUUUGGUGGGUGUGGAUGAGUUGCGAACGGGUGAGUAACACGUGAGUAACCUGCCCCCUUCUUCUGGAUAACCGCAUGAAAGUGUGGCUAAUACGGGAUAUUCUGUGUCUGUCGCAUGAUGGGUCUGGGAAAGAUAUUGUUUCGGUGGGGGAUGGGCUCGCGGCCUAUCAGCUUGUUGGUGGGGUGAUGGCCUACCAAGGCGGUGACGGGUAGCCGGCCUGAGAGGGUGGACGGUCACACUGGGACUGAGACACGGCCCAGACUCCUACGGGAGGCAGCAGUGGGGAAUAUUGCACAAUGGGCGCAAGCCUGAUGCAGCGACGCCGCGUGAGGGAUGGAGGCCUUCGGGUUGUGAACCUCUUUCGCCAGUGAAGCAGGCCUGCCUCGUUUGUGGGUGGGUUGACGGUAGCUGGAUAAGAAGCGCCGGCUAACUACGUG
rnacentral:rRNA from 1 species